rnacentral:rRNA from 1 species
AUAGAUCCUGAAACCGUAUGCAUACAAGCAGUGAGAGCAGAUUUAUUCUGUGAUUGCGUACCUUUUGUAUAAUGGGUCAGCGACUUACUUUCAGUGGCAAGCUUAACCGAUAGGGGAGGCGUAGGGAAACCGAGUCUUAAUUGGGCGUAUAGUCGCUGGAAGUAGACCCGAAACCGGGCGAUCUAUCCAUGGCCAGGGUGAAGGACAGGUAACACUGUCUGGAGGCCCGAACCCACUUAUGUUGAAAAAUGAGGGGAUGAGCUGUGGAUCGGAGUGAAAGGCUAAUCAAGCCCGGAGAUAGCUGGUUCUCCUCGAAAUCUAUUUAGGUAGAGCCUCAUGUAUAACUCUUGGGGGUAGAGCACUGUUAUGGCUAGGGGGUCAUCCCGACUUACCAACCCAUUGCAAACUCCGAAUACCAAGAAGUUCAAUCAUGGGAGACACACUGCGGGUGCUAACGUCCGUAGUGGAAAGGGAAACAACCCAGACCGCCAACUAAGGUCCCAAAAUCAUAGCUCAGUGGGAAACGAUGUGGAAAGGCAUAGACAGCCAGGAGGUUGGCUUAGAAGCAGCCAUCCUUUAAAGAAAGCGUAAUAGCUCACUGGUCGAGUCGGUCCGCGCGGAAGAUUUAACGGGGCUUAAGCUAUGUACCGAAGUUGCGGACGCAUAGAUUUAUCUAUGCGUGGUAGAGGAGCGUUCUGUAAGCCUGCGAAGGUGUCUUGUAAAGGAUGCUGGAGGUAUCAGAAGUGCGAAUGCUGACAUGAGUAGCGAUAAUGGGGGUGAAAAGCCUCCACGCCGUAAGCCCAAGGUUUCCUGUUCAACGUUCAUCGGAGCAGGGUGAGUCGGCCCCUAAGGCGAGGCAGAGAUGCGUAGCUGAUGGGAAGCAGGUUAAUAUUCCUGCACCGUCGUAUGAUGCGAUGGGGGGACGGAUCGCGGAAGGUUGUCUGACUGUUGGAAUAGUCAGUUUCUGUCUCAUAGAAGGCGCUUAGGCAAAUCCGGGCGCGGAAUUCAAGGGGAUGGGACGAGUGAACUUGUUCACGAAGCAAUCGGAAGUGGUUCCAAGAAAAGCCUCUAAGCUUCAGUCAUACGAGACCGUACCGCAAACCGACACAGGUGGGCGAGAUGAGUAUUCUAAGGCGCUUGAGAGAACUCGGGAGAAGGAACUCGGCAAAUUGGUACCGUAACUUCGGGAAAAGGUACGCCCCGGUAGCUUGAUUGGUUUACUCCAUGAGGGUGAAAGGGUUGCAAUAAACUGGUGGCUGCGACUGUUUAAUAAAAACACAGCACUCUGCAAACACGAAAGUGGACGUAUAGGGUGUGACGCCUGCCCGGUGCCGGAAGGUUAAUUGAUGGGGUUAGCGUAAGCGAAGCUCUUGAUCGAAGCCCCGGUAAACGGCGGCCGUAACAAUAACGGUCCUAAGGUAGCGAAAUUCCUUGUCGGGUAAGUUCCGACCUGCACGAA